ACGUUUGGAGGGCGCAUGCGCCCUGCUGGACUGCCUUGUUGAGGUUUAGGUAUUCCGUGGUUGAGGUCCGCGGUUCCGUGGUGUAUGCUUGUGUUGGGUGGUUCUGCUCCACGCCGGAGUUUGCAAAUCUGUGUAGGAGGCAGCUGCUGCAUUUGGGACUCUCGGGAUGUCUGCUUUCUGUUACCUUGCAAUACAGUUGUGUAUGCAUUUAUAUUCACUCCCUAGACUAGACGGUGGAAUUUAAGAGGGCAAGACCCUGCACUUACACGCCUGGGAUUGACACGGGAAAUCGGACCCUUAGAUUCAGACCCACUCCCCAGAGGAAGCAAAGGGAACAUGCAGGGAAGACUGCCUUGUAGCUGCCCAGGUCUCUUUCUCAGCCCCUUCCUCACUGCCUCUUGCACCAGGCUCUGGGAGAGAACAGCGAGACAGAACCUAGACUCUCCAGGACUACAAUCACCUAUUACCAUCCCUUUGUCUUGCAACUGGGGAAUCAGAGGUCCAGAGAGGGGAAAGGACUCAGCCAAGGUCAUACAGUGCUGUCUUUAGCUCUACAGAUACAGCAGAGAACAAAGGAGAAUUGGCCUUGCCCAAGUGGAGCUAAAGUCUCUUCUGGAACCUGAACGAAAGCCCCCAUGAAGACAGAGGUUCUGUCUCUCUCAUCCACGGCUGCAGCACCAGGAGCCACAGCAGAGCCUGGUCCAUGGUUGACGUUGCUGGGAGCACGGAAGGAGACCAAUCUUCCCUACAGACCAAAGACAAAUUUCUUUUGAAGUACUCUGGAUGGAUAAAAAAUCUGUUCAAAAGAUCAAAGGUGAUUAUUAUUAUUCAAAUUAUUAUUUGAAGAAUACGCUCACCAUGAUCAUACAACUAUUUUUUGAUUUAUGGAAACACAAUUGGUAUUCAACUUUUUAGGAGUAUGUUUAGCGUGUAAAACAAGAACAAAUUGCACGAAGUGAGAGCCCACGUCUGUGUUGUUUCUCACUAAGAUCAGCACCUUUCUGGCCACCUAGUAGGCUUUUGAAUAUCUGUGUGAUUGAUUUCAAUACUGGAAUAUGUUUUCUGUUAAAUCUCAAGGGCAUCAGUUCUGCAGUUCUCCCUUUAUAGUUGUUAACAUGAAUUUUGAUGACACGAAAAA